UUUCCGUAGGUGAACCUGCGGAAGGAUCAUUACUGCGUUUUGAAUGAAGUUGUUCUGGUCUUUCGGGGCAAGUGAACGCUUCUCUCAAUCCAUCUUACACCUGUGCACCUAUCGGGGAAGACUUGGAUCUAAGUUGGGUCACGACGGCGAUCUACAGUCUCCUCUUUAUACCAAAUAACAGUUUUAGAAAGUCUUUUUUGCUUGAUGCAAACUUAAAUAAAUACAACUUUCAGCAACGGAUCUCUUGGCUCUC
rnacentral:misc_RNA from 1 species